GGAGUCGGCCGGACAGUCGCGCCGCGGCCUGGCCGCGGGGAGGAAAGUCCGGGCUCCUGGGGCAGGGUGCCAGGUAACGCCUGGGGGGCGCGAGCCCACGGAAAGUGCCACAGAAAAUAUACCGCCGUCGUUCGCGACGGUAAGGGUGAAAUGGUGCGGUAAGAGCGCACCGCGCGGCUGGUAACAGCCGUGGCAGGGCAAACCCCACCCGGAGCAAGACCAAAUAGGGGAGCCGCGGCGUUCGCGCCGCAACGCCGGCCCUGCGUGCUCCCGGGUAGGUCGCUCGAGGCCCGUGGUGACACGGGUCCCAGAUGAAUGACUGUCCACGACAGAACCCGGCUUACAGGCCGGCUCCCCAC
rnacentral:RNase_P_RNA from 1 species